AUUGCUAGUAAUGGCAGGUCAGCAUACUGCCGUGAAUACGUUCCCGGGCCUUGUACACACCGCCCGUCACACCAUGAGAGUUGGAAAUACCCGAAGCCUGUGAGCUAACUUAAAGAGGCAGCAGUCGAAGGUAGAGCCAAUGAUUGGGGUGAAGUCGUAACAAGGUAGC
rnacentral:rRNA from 1 species